rnacentral:rRNA from 1 species
CUACGGGAGGCAGCAGUGGGGAAUCUUAGACAAUGGGGGAAACCCUGAUCUAGCCAUGCCGCGUGAGCGAUGAAGGCCUUAGGGUUGUAAAGCUCUUUCAGCUGGGAAGAUAAUGACUGUACCAGCAGAAGAAGCCCCGGCUAACUCCGUGCCAGCAGCCGCGGUAAUACGGAGGGGGCUAGCGUUGUUCGGAAUUACUGGGCGUAAAGCGCACGUAGGCGGACUGGAAAGUUGGGGGUGAAAUCCCGGGGCUCAACCUCGGAACUGCCUUCAAAACUCCCAGUCUUGAGGUCGAGAGAGGUGAGUGGAAUUCCGAGUGUAGAGGUGAAAUUCGUAGAUAUUCGGAGGAACACCAGUGGCGAAGGCGGCUCACUGGAUCGGUACUGACGCUGAGGUGCGAAAGCGUGGGGAGCAAACAGGAUUAGAUACCCUUGUAGUCC